rnacentral:lncRNA from 1 species
UGAAAGAUAAGAAUGGUGCCCUAAGGAGAAAGAAGGAAUAAUUAGGAUUAUGCUUGCCAAGGAUUCACAUCCUCGUGCCUACGUAUUCUCACUAUGCAAUGAGAAAGUCAAAGCAUUCGUAGUUCGUGGAACCACGAGAACAAAUGGAGAUUGAAAGUGAUGAAAAGUAUAACUUGUACCGACAGAAAGGUAACAAAAGGUAUUUUUCUAAACAAGGGGGACUCACAAGACAAACCCAAAUUAGGAGGUUAACUACCAUGGAACAAAGAGAGA